GACGAACGCUGGCGGCGUGCCUAAUACAUGCAAGUCGAGCGCGGGAAGCUGACGGAACUCUUCGGAGGGAAGGCAGCGGAAUGAGCGGCGGACGGGUGAGUAACACGUAAGGAACCUGCCUCAAGGAUUGGGAUAACUCCGAGAAAUCGGAGCUAAUACCGGAUAGUUCAACGGACCGCAUGGUCCGCUGAUGAAAGGCGCUCCGGCGUCACCUUGAGAUGGCCUUGCGGUGCAUUAGCUAGUUGGUGGGGUAACGGCCCACCAAGGCGACGAUGCAUAGCCGACCUGAGAGGGUGAUCGGCCACACUGGGACUGAGACACGGCCCAGACUCCUACGGGAGGCAGCAGUAGGGAAUCUUCCACAAUGGACGAAAGUCUGAUGGAGCAAUGCCGCGUGAGUGAUGAAGGUUUUCGAAUCGUAAAGCUCUGUUGUAAGGGAAGAAUAGCAUUAGCAGGAAAUGGCUAGUGUGUGACGGUACCUUACCAGAAAGCCUCGGCUAACUACGUGCCAGCCGCCGCGGUAA
rnacentral:rRNA from 1 species